rnacentral:misc_RNA from 1 species
GGCCAAGAUCCUGUUGUCAAAACCUGGACGACCAGUGUGGGUCCAUCCCCUAACUCAGGUUGGCUUGCAUAAAACCCUUGCAUUGUAUCCUGGGAGGUCUUCAUGUCAGUGAACAUCCCUUCUAAUUUUGAUGUGAAUUGAUAUCCACAUUCGGUCUUAAGUUUGACUAUCAAACUUCUCUCUGCAUCAUCAGAGACGGUUUUUCCUGAUAAUAGCCGCUUAGCCAAAUGCUGUUUAUAAUACUU